GAGUUUGAUUAUGGCUCAGAACGAACGCUGGCGGCGCGUCUUAAGCAUGCAAGUCGAACGGUAAGGGAGAGCUUGCUCUCCCCUAGAGUGGCGGACUGGUGAGUAACGCGUGGGUGACCUGCCCUGAAGAUGGGGAUAGCUAGUAGAAAUAUUAGAUAAUACCGAAUGUGCUCAUUUACAUAAAGGUAAAUGAGGAAAGGAGCUACGGCUCCGCUUCAGGAUGGGCCCGCGUCCCAUUAGCUGGUUGGUGAGGUAAAGGCCCACCAAGGCAACGAUGGGUAUCCGGCCUGAGAGGGUGAACGGACACAUUGGGACUGAGAUACGGCCCAAACUCCUACGGGAGGCAGCAGCUAAGAAUCUUCCGCAAUGGACGAAAGUCUGACGGAGCGACGCCGUGUGAAUGAAGAAGGCUGAAAGGUUGUAAAAUUCUUUUGCAGAUGAAGAAUAAACACAGGAGGGAAUGCCCCUGUGAGAUGA
rnacentral:rRNA from 1 species